rnacentral:rRNA from 1 species
UACGAAGGGGGCUAGCGUUACUCGGAUUUACUGGGCGUAAAGGGCGCGUAGGCGGAUGUUUAAGUCGGGGGUGAAAGCCCGGGGCUCAACCUCGGAAUUGCCUUCGAUACUGGACAUCUUGAGUACGGGAGAGGUGAGUGGAACUCCGAGUGUAGAGGUGAAAUUCGUAGAUAUUCGGAAGAACACCAGUGGCGAAGGCGACUCACUGGCCCGUUACUGACGCUGAGGCGCGAAAGCGUGGGGAGCAAACAGG